rnacentral:rRNA from 1 species
UACAGAGGGGGCUAGCGUUGUUCGGAAUUACUGGGCGUAAAGGGCGCGUAGGCGGCCCGCUAAGUCGAACGUGAAAUCCCCAGGCUCAACCCGGGAACUGCGUCCGAUACUGGCGGGCUUGAAUCCGGGAGAGGGAUGUGGAAUUCCAGGUGUAGCGGUGAAAUGCGUAGAUAUCUGGAGGAACACCGGUGGCGAAGGCGGCAUCCUGGACCGGUAUUGACGCUGAGGCGCGAAAGCCAGGGGAGCAAACGGG